rnacentral:rRNA from 1 species
CAGCAGCCACGGGAAUACGUAGGUGGCGAGCGUUGUCCGGAAUUAUUGGGCGUAAAGGGAGCGCAGGCGGACAUAUAAGUCCAUCUUAAAAGUGCGGGGCUCAACCCCGUGAGGGGAUGGAAACUGUAUGCCUUGAGUGCAGGAGAGGAAAGCGGAAUUCCCAGUGUAGCGGUGAAAUGCGUAGAUAUUGGGAAGAACACCAGUGGCGAAGGCGGCUUUCUGGACGGCAACUGACACUGAGGCUCGAAAGCCAGGGGAGCGAACGGGAUUAGAUACCCGAGUAGUCCCUGUCUCUUAUACA